UUUUUUUUUUUCUCGUGUUAUGCUGUCAAAAUCAUCGCCAUGUUAGCCUAUACCUAGGGUAUUUUCACUGCCCUCUUUCCUUUUUUUUCAUCAUAACCUUUUCCAAAACCGAAUGUGUUGUUCUUCCACCUCUUAUUUCUUGGUUUCGAAUAUCAAAUCCAGUGCCUUCGAAUUGUGUUGGGUAGGACUCGAAAUUGGGCGCAGAGAGAAGUUUCAGUUUGGAUUGCUGUUUGGUUUGAAUUCUUUAUUUAUAUUUUCUUUCUCAAAUUUGAUUCUCACAAUGGACGACGGUGAGGUUGACUUUUCGAACCAAGAAGUGUUUUCUAGUCCAAAUAUGGCUGGCGAGCUUCCCAGCAGUUGCUCGAUGGACAGUUUCUUUGAUGAGCUUCUGAAAGACUCUCAUGCUUGUACUCACACCCACACUUGCAACCCACCCGGUCCUGAUUACUCUCAUACCCACACUUGUUUUCAUGUCCAUACAAAAAUUGUGCCUGCUGCAACUGAAGGCAACAACACUGCAACAGAUGAUUCUGCAGAUUCUGUAGGAAAGAACUCGAAAAAACGCCCUUUGGGAAACCGGGAAGCAGUGCGCAAAUACCGUGAGAAGAAGAAGGCAAGAGCAGCAUCUUUGGAGGAUGAAGUUGUAAGAUUGAGAACUCUUAAUCAGCAGUUGGUCAAAAGAUUGCAAGGUCAAGCUGCUUUGGAGGCUGAGGUUGCAAGGCUCAAGUGUUUACUUGUGGAUAUUCGUGGAAGAAUUGAAGGGGAAAUUGGAUCUUUUCCGUAUCAGAAAUCUGUGAAUCACACCAUUCCAAACCCAACCAUGCCUGGUUCAUACAUGGUGAACCCCUGUAAUGUACAAUGUAACGAUCAGGUGUAUUGUCUUCAUCCUGGGGUGGAUGACAAAUGUGACGAUGACUCCUUGAAUGACCAAGGUAUAAAUGCUUGCGAAUUUGAGAGUCUCCAAUGUUUGGCAAAUCAGAACUCAGCUUCCAUGGACCUUUCUGGUUGUGGAGUUGGCAAUGUGAGUGUAUCAGCUCGUGCUAAAUCUUCUGCCUCAAACAAGAGGAAAGGAGGGGCCCAUGCAGCAACUGCAAGUUGAAAUGGCUGAUAAGGCAACGUGAAGCUGUGUUAACUGUUAGAGAUACAUAUUCUAUUCUAAUAAGUAGUUGGCGAACUGCAGCAUCGGCCGGUCCUCGCUCAGAACAUAGGAAGUUGGGAUGUCUUUCAUGUUUCAUUCUAUGAGCUGUGUGAACAAGGUGAGUCACAAACUCCCGUAAUGAGAUUCGUAUUUGUGAUUUUGUGAAGGGACUAGAAUUUAGAAUAUUUUUUGCUUCUGCUUUACCAUUUUUUUCCUUCUAAUGGAAGAAUUAGCCAAACAAUUCGUCUCAGUGACAUUGUAAGACUGAGGAGGAAUUGAUGAAUUGCCAUUGCUAUCUUGACUGAUGAGUACAAUUGAGACCUCUAGCAUGGCCUAUUAGGCGGACAACAAAGAUGGAUGGAGUGGUAGCGUCCAAAAGAUAUUUAUCUCAUGAAAGAUGAACUUGUUAAAUACAACAUGAUUUCAUUUCGGACUCGGAUCUUUAAGUUUUUGGAGCUCUAAUGCGUCCGUUACUUGUGGUAAUUUCAUACUCACUAGUCACUAUUACCACACAAUACAAACAUAAAUCUAAGAAAGUGAAGUAUCAAAAAUAAAAAGUCAGGGUAUUCCUAAGUAAAUCUUCUUAUUAUAGUUUGUACUCUUUAAGCACACAUUUGCGCUAAAGAGGAGCUGGUAUUACAACACCAUGAUUUGUAAAGAUUACAGCAAAGACCAAUUGUUGCGUUUGAAGAUGCUUUGCAAGUUAGAUUAAGUGAGAUUAUCUCUAUAUAUCUUGGUUUUCACGUUUAAAGCAGAUUGAGCGAUUUUCCGGACCUGAAGAGCAUGGUCCUCUCCUCUCCCUACCACACUAAAGAUUAACAUGUUUGUAUGACCAACAUGACAAAACAUCAGUUCUGAUUUAUCGUUCUUUAACAUAAGCCUUUACACGCCGAAACGUGUUGUUGGUCCCAAAGAAUCACUGUACUGUUCCAUCUAAACUAGCAAAGCCAAAUAUAUCUUCAUUGUUGAGAUUG